GCUUCCAAGCUUCUGUCUUGAAAUAAUCAAUAUCCAAAUUUGGUGGAAGAACAUGGUGCAAUCCUUAGUGGGGAAGCAUGUGAGCCAAGGAAAUUGAUGAUGUCAUGUACAUUGUAUACACAUGAAUAAAAAAGUCAAAAAGAACGUUGUUCUAGUGAUUUAACUAUAGGUGUAUACUUAUUUGCUUUUCCUUUUCUUACUGGCCAACAUUUAUUUUACAUUCUUUAAGUAGACACACUACAAUUUCUUAUAAUUGUCCCAGCGACUUCUCAAGUGGAUAAUCUGGUGACUUCUCCUUCCCGAGACAAGGAGCAAGCACAUGACCCAAACUAGGACAGGACGCAUUAGAAAGACAUGACGGGAGCAGAUGAUGUUUAGUCACUCAGGCAAUACAGCUAAAGUAUACAUUGAGAUUCAGGAUGAAAAUAAUCAUCCCCCAGUGUUUCAGAAAAAAUUCUACAUCGGAGGUGUAUCUGAAGAUGCAAGAAUGUUUACUUCUGUACUCAGAGUGAAGGCUACUGAUAAAGAUACUGGCAAUUACAGUGUCAUGGCCUACAGACUCAUAAUACCACCAAUUAAAGAGGGGAAAGAAGGGUUUGUAGUGGAAACAUAUACAGGGCUUAUCAAAACUGCUAUGCUCUUCCAUAAUAUGAGGAGAUCCUACUUCAAGUUUCAAGUUAUUGCAACUGACGACUAUGGGAAGGGACUGAGUGGCAAAGCCGAUGUACUCGUCUCUGUGGUCAAUCAGCUGGAUAUGCAAGUCAUUGUUUCCAAUGUGCCUCCUACUCUAGUGGAAAAAAAGAUAGAAGAUCUUACAGAGAUCUUGGAUCGCUAUGUUCAGGAACAAAUUCCUGGUGCCAAGGUUGUAGUGGAGUCCAUUGGAGCUCGCCGGCAUGGAGAUGCCUUUUCCCUAGAAGAUUACACCAAAUGUGACUUGACUGUCUAUGCAAUUGACCCCCAAACCAACAGAGCCAUCGAUAGAAAUGAGCUUUUUAAAUUUUUGGAUGGCAAACUGCUUGAUAUCAAUAAAGACUUUCAGCCGUAUUAUGGGGAAGGAGGACGCAUUCUGGAGAUCCGGACUCCAGAGGCAGUGACCAGCAUUAAAAAGAGAGGAGAAAGUCUAGGAUACACAGAAGGGGCCUUGUUGGCUCUGGCCUUCAUCAUCAUCCUCUGCUGCAUUCCUGCCAUCUUGGUGGUUUUGGUCAGCUACAGACAGUUUAAAGUACGUCAAGCUGAGUGCAUAAAGACUGCACGAAUUCAGGCCGCAUUACCCGCAGCUAAACCAGCAGCGCCGGCCCCUGCACCAGUGGUAGCGCCCCCGCCGCCGCCACCGCCUCCACCAGGUGCGCAUCUCUAUGAAGAACUUGGAGACAGCUCAAUUCUUUUCCUUCUCUACCAUUUUCAACAAAGCAGGGGAAAUAACUCAGUCUCAGAAGACAGGAAACAUCAACAAGUUGUGAUGCCCUUUUCUUCCAAUACUAUUGAGGCUCACAAGUCAGCUCAUGUAGACGGAUCACUUAAGAGCAACAAACUGAAGUCUGCAAGAAAAUUCACAUUUCUAUCUGAUGAGGAUGACUUAAGUGCCCAUAAUCCCCUUUGUAAGGAAAACAUAAGUCAAGUAUCAACAAAUUCAGACAUUUCACUGAGAACAGAUUUUGUAGACACGUUUUUACCCAAAAUACAAGCCAAGAGUAAGUCUCUGAGGGGCCCAAGAGAAAAGAUUCAGAGGCUGUGGAGUCAGUCAGUCAGCUUACCCAGGAGGCUGAUGAGGAAAGUUCCAAAUAGACCAGAGAUCAUAGAUCUGCAGCAGUGGCAAGGCACCAGGCAGAAAGCUGAAAAUGAAAACACUGGAAUCCGUACAAACAAAAGAGGUAGCAGCAAUCCAUUGCUUACAACUGAAGAGGCAAAUUUGACAGAGAAAGAGGAAAUAAGGCAAGGUGAAACACUGAUUAUAAAAGGAGCAGAACAGUUGAAAUCUUUCUCUUCAGACUCUUCAUUUUGCUUUCCCAGGCCUCACUUCUCAUUCUCCACUUUGCCAACUGUUUCAAGAACUGUGGAACUCAAAUCAGAACCUAAUGUCAUCACUUCUCCUGCUGAGUGUUCCUUGGAACUUUCUCCUUCAAGGCCUUGUGUUUUAAAUUCUUCACUCUCCAGGAGAGAGACACCAAUUUGUAUGUUAGCUGUUGAAACCGAAAGAAAUAUUUUUGAAAAUUUUGCCCAUCCACCAAACAUCUCUCCUUCUGCCUGUCCCCCUCCUCUUCCUCCUCCUAUUUCUCCUCCUUCUCCUCCUCCUGCUCCUGCUCCUCUUGCUCCUCCUCCUGACAUUUCUCCUUUUUCUCUUUUUUGUCCUCCUCCGUCUCCUCCUUCUAUCCCUCUUCCUCUUCCUCCUUCUACAUUUUUUCCACUUUCCGUUUCAACUUCCGGUCCCCCAACUCCACCUCUUCUACCUCCAUUUCCAACUCUUCCUCCACCACCUCCUUCUAUUCCUUGCCCCCCACCUCCUUCAGCUUCAUUUCUGUCCACAGAGUGUGUCUGUAUAACAGGUGUUAAAUGCACGACCAACACGAUGCCUGCCGAGAAAAUUAAGUCCUCUAUGACACAGCUAUCAACGACAGUGUGUAAAACAGACCCUCAGAGAGAACCAAAAGGCAUCCUCAGACAUGUUAAAAACUUAGCAGAACUUGAAAAAUCAGUAGCUAACAUGUACAGUCAAAUAGAAAAAAACUAUCUACGCACAAAUGUUUCGGAACUUCAAACUAUGUGCCCUUCAGAAGUAACAAAUAUGGAAAUCACAUCUGAACAAAACAAGGAGAAUUUGAACAGUAUUGUCGAGGGAACUGAAAAACAAUCUCACAGUCAAUCUACUUCACUGUAAUGUUGCUUGUCUUAUUUUAGUCGGGCAAACCUCUUGUUGAUCAUAGUCUUCAAGUUGAACAUCAAAUUUGAACGUCAAAGAAGAUUCUAUUAUUUUACCCCAAAUUCAAUGAAAUGCAGUUUUUUCUCAUUUUUAAUUUAAAAAGAUAUUAACCUCAUCACUACUAACUCAUAUAAUAGAUUUACCUUAAUUUUUAAACUACAAAGUAGCAUAAUUUGUUCUACAUUUAUUUGAACAGUAAGUAAUUUUAAUCUCUUUUUUAGUGGGAAUAUGUGGGCAUGAAAGUUAGUUAGAUACCCAACUUAAACCAAAGGCAUGUCCAUCAUGUGGAUGCAGUAACUAACAUUUACAUUUAGUUUUUGAUCGUAGUUUUAUAUGAAUGUUCCAAGAAAAAAGCAGGCUGUUACAAAUAAGUUAAAACUGAUAUGAUUGAUAGGUUCUGUUUUUUCUUGAAGCCUAUGUAUUUGGUAAGAAGAAAUACUACCAAAGUAAAAUAUAAUGUACCUAGAUUGUAGGAGAUGACAGACAUAAGGUAUUUCAAAAUAAAUCUCAGGUGCUAUAACAUGUAGUCAUCUGUUUUCU
rnacentral:sRNA from 1 species